rnacentral:rRNA from 1 species
UACGUAGGGUGCGAGCGUUAAUCGGAAUUACUGGGCGUAAAGUGUGCGCAGGCGGCAGAGCAAGUCGAGUGUGAAAGCCCCGGGCUUAACUUGGGAAUUGCGCUCGAAACUACUUUGCUGGAGUGUGGCAGAGGAAGGUGGAAUUCCACGUGUAGCGGUGAAAUGCGUAGAGAUGUGGAGGAACACCAAUGGCGAAGGCAGCCUUCUGGGCCAACACUGACGCUCAUGACACGAAAGCGUGGGGAGCAAACAGG